AGAGAGAGACAUGCGCGCAUAUCAAUAAGCGGAGGAAAAGAAACUAACAAGGAUUCCCUUAGUAACGGCGAGUGAAGCGGGAAGAGCUCAAAUUUGAAAUCUUCAAGGUUCUACCUUGACGAAUUGUAGUUUAUAGAAGUGUUUUCUGUUAGUGGAGUGGCAAAAGUUCUUUGGAAUAGGACAUCAUAGAGGGUGAGAAUCCCGUAUUUGGUCAUUCCUCCUAGCGUUGUGAUACACUUUCAACGAGUCGGAUUGUUUGGGAAUGCAGUCCAAAAUGGGUGGUAAAUUUCAUCUAAAGCUAAAUAUUGGCGAGAGACCGAUAGCGAACAAGUACCGUGAGGGAAAGAUGAAAAGAACUUUGAAAAGAGAGUUAAACAGUACGUGAAAUUGUCAAAAGGGAAGCGUUUGACACCAGUGUUGUUUUUCCGAGAAUCAAUUACGAAUGUUUUGUUUUUGAGGAGUUAUGACUUCAUCGGCUUGCUCCUUUCUUUACGAAACUUUCUUAAUGCACUUUUCGGUUAACAAGUCAACAUCAAUUUCUUUUGUUGUAAAAGGGUAUGAGGAAGGUGGCUUUCUUUUCGGAGAAAGUGUUUAUAGCCUCGUGCCUCUGCAAUCGGAGAGAUUGAGGUCUGCAGCGUAGAUCCUUCGGGGUUAGAUACAUUUGUGCUAAGUUAUAGCCUUUUCAUAGACAACUUGUUGACUAUGAUUAGUCAUUGUAGCUUACUCGCUUAUGCUAUUUUACCUACGCUUAGGAUGUUGAUAGUCACAGCGUGUAC
rnacentral:rRNA from 1 species